rnacentral:misc_RNA from 1 species
GACAAGAACAAAGGUGCCAACAAUUUCAGCACCAAGCCCAUCACCUUUGGUGUAACCUGGGUUCACACUAUUGGCACCACCACCCAACAAAGUAUACUGGUGACGCCCUUCAAAUCCUUUCACUACACCAGCACCACAUAUGGCUCCAAGGCACUGCAUCACCAUGUAGUACAAAGCCCUUGUCAAGGACAGUUUCCUUGCCAAAAACAGCCCAAACGUCACCGCCGGGUUUAUGUGACCUCCUGAAAUGCCAGCAGUACAAUAGACAAGAGCGAAGAUCAUGCCACCAAAGGACCAAGCUAUCCCCUGAAUCCCAACAGUCGAACACUUGGUGGGUGCCUUAACUACACCCAUGACAGUCAAAACAGAGAUGUAUAAGAACAAGAAAGUGGCUAUGAACUCUGCAAUACCAGCCCUGUAAAAGGACCAAGAAGUGAGCUCCGUUGGCUCGAACAGCGGCGCUGCUGGUGGUUCAGUGUAGUCCUUGUCAUCUUGGCUCUGAGCUGACGUACCAAUGGGCUGCGUCUCCCUAUAUUUGUUAGCUCCCAAUCUAACAUCUUCUUCCUUGCCCUCCAUAGCUGUUUAGCUCCAAAAAGACCAAAGCCAAUACACUGAAAUUGAUGAUCAGACGCUUGUUAAUGGCCGUUUG